rnacentral:lncRNA from 1 species
GUUUACCGUUGGGGACCGUCGUUGAUCCAAGAACAAAUGGACAUCCUCGCUGAUGAAUCCAACCCCAAAAUCCUUGUUAACACCUUCGAUGCUUUGGAACAAGAAGCAUUAAACGCCAUUGAAAAUUUCAACAUGAUCGGCAUCGGACCUUUAAUCCCAUCUUCUUUCUUGAACUCAAGUGACUCCUUGGAUAAUUCCUUGAGAACCGAUCUUUUUCAACCCGAUUCAAAAGAUUACCUCCAAUGGUUAGACUCCAAACCAAAAUCGGCCGUCGUUUACGUUUCCUUCGGGAGCAUUACGGUGUUAACGAAGCAACAAGUGGAGGAAAUCGCUCGAGCUUUAAUAUCCAGCCGGCGACCUUUUUUAUGGGUGGUGAGGAACCGGAAAGAUGGAGGCGAAGAAGAGAAAGAAGAAGAUAAACUGACUUGCAGGGAAGAAUUGGAACAGUAUGGGAGGGUGGUUCCAUGGUGUUCGCAAGUGGAAGUAUUGUCUCAUCCGUCGUUGGGUUGCUUCGUGACGCAUUGUGGGUGGAACUCGACGUUGGAGAGCAUGGUGGCCGGUGUACCGGUGGUGGCUUUCCCUCAAUGGACGGAUCAAGGGACUAAUGCGAAGCUGAUUGAAGAUGUGUGGGGGAAUGGGGUGAGAGUGAGUGCUAAUGAAGAAGGGAUGGUGGAACGUGAUGAGAUCGUUAGGUGCUUGGAUUUGGUGAUGGGGGAUGAUGAGAAAGGGAUGGAAGUGAAGAAAAACGUAGAGAAAUGGAAAGGGUUAGCCAGGGAAGCCUCCAUGGAAGGCGGCUCCAUGGAUAUGAAGCUUAAAGCUUUUGUGGAUGAUGUUGCUCAAGGUGGUUGUAAGUAAAUUUAUCAUUUUCAAAUAAAUUCACUGUUAUAAUAGCAGCUAUAAAGAUUGUAACUUCUUUAAUUUCUAAGUUUAUUUCUUUUUUUUUUUCCAUAUCUUUUAAAAAAUAUAUGUAAGAUUGAAAGGCCCAAACAAAAACUCCUGUUUUAAGGACCCAAGAAGAGCUGGUCUGUUUAGGCUGUGCUAUUUAUUACUUUUUAGAUGAGUUUUUGCAUGUAAAAGUAUUUUUUUUGAAAAAUAAUAAAGAAUAGACAUCAUUUCAGAAAUAUUUUUAACUUAAAAAAAUACUUUUUGGCAGAUGGAGAAAUUAAAAAUUUUAACUUUUCCGUCUGCCAAAAGUGCUUUUGACUUCUAUUUACAUUUUUAACCUUUUUCUUCUCCCAAAAUUUUUAGUAUUUAUAUUUGGUAUAUAAAUGUUAUCCAUUUUUAAAUCUUUAAUCUAAAUAUAUGUAAUAUUUUAAUUUGUUAGGUUUAUAUUUUCUAUGUUACGUUAAUAUCUAAUAAGAGUUAUAUAUUAAAAUACAUUUUAAAAUAAAAUAAUACAAAUGUGUUAAAAGCAUUAAUUAAAAAUAAAAAAUAAAUUUUAAAAUAAUACAAUUGUGUCAGUAUCUAAUUACAAAUAUUUAAUUAUUAUAUUUAAAUAUAGUUUAUAUAUUCUAAUUAAAUUUAAUAAAUAAUUAAUAUUAAUUACUUAGAAAAAUUUAAAAAUAAUAUUAUAUAUUAAAAUAUUAACAAUAAGUUAUAAUAAAUUAUUUUUAUAAUUUUGCUAAAAUAUCAUAAUAUUAACUAAUUUGAACAUUAUUUAAAUACAUAUUUGUUACUUUAUAAUAUCAUGUCUAAAAUGGACAUUUUAUUUCUCAAAAGCACUUUUUGACAGCAAUAUCAAACACUCAAAUUUUUCGAAAGCAUUUUUUAAAAGUACUUUUCCACAACACUUUUCAAAAAUACUUUUCAAAAGCAAUGAAGAACUGACCCUUAGUCUUUGUGCCCCAUCUAUCCAUCUCAAUCUCAAUCAAUGCUUUCCUUUCUUGCCUCAAGCACUCACUCGUUUCAUGACCUAUCCUAGUCUUCCCUUUCUUAACUUCAUGAUCUCAAAAAAAAAAAAAAACCCCAAAGUUUGAAUUCCGUCUAUGAACUUCCUAAGCAGAAUCAGGAUAUUUGAUUAAACAUGGAUGCUUCCAUUAUCAUAUGGAUUAAGGGUGCCAGUCAGUCUUAUUACGCCCCUAAUCCAACUUUCACCAUUCGAUAUAUGAUUAUAACCUAUACAACAACAGUCAAAUGUGUUGUUGUCGUACCUCUGUCCCUUCAAAAUUAUCUUUACUGUUGCUAUUCAUGUCUUCAUUUGAAUUGAUUUGUUUAUGGUUAUAUAUUGCCGAAUUUGAUUUGUAUAUGGAUAUACAUUGCUGAAUUAAUUUAUAUAUUGUUAUACAUUACCAAAUUUGAUUUGUAUAUAGAUAUACAUUGACAAAUUUGAUUCGUAUAUGGAUAUAUAUCGCCGAAUUGAUUUGAGCUUUGGAUUACUAGUUUUGUGCAUGAAUUGAUUUAAUUACGAAGUCGAAAGCUCCGAAUGAACCUUAGUAAAUGUAUUGGAUAUUGAUGUCAUGAUAUUAGGACUUUCAGGGUGUAAUUUCGCGUAAGACCAUGUCUGGGAUAUUGGCAUCGAAGUAAGAAAACGUGUAAGACCAUGUCUGGGACAGUGGAAUUGAUAUGUGUUAACAUAUAAGACCAUAUCCGAGAUAUUGUAUUGUACGAGUUUUAUAUGAUUUUCGUAUGAUCUUAACUAUUUCGAAUGUGAAUUUGAGUUGAAUGGUUCAGGUAUGUGUGAAGUUAUAUGUUCAUGCAAUAUUAAGGUAAGUUUAGCACUUAAUGUGAUAAUAUGCAAUUAUAUGAGUUAGUUAAAUGUUUAUGUGUUUGAGAUUUAUUUGAAUUCAACCUAGUUGAAUUGAAUUAUAAAUAUCAUUGAGAUGAUUGAGUAAGAGGUUAGUACGAGAUGAUACAGGUACAUACAGAACCUAUUCGAGUAUUUAAUAGAGAAAGAUAAUGAAAUGGUAUUUGAUCAUGUUUUAAGACAUUGAGAAAGGUUUGUUGUAAUUGUAUAUAUGGUGAUGUUAUGUACAAUUAGUUGAAUUGUAUGUAUUUGAUGUAUUGAAUUAUUCAUUUACGAACUUACUAAGCUAUGAAGCUUACUUCGUGUUAUUUUCUUAUGUUUUAUAGAGAAUCAAGGCUAGCUCGGAUCCAAAAGUCGUCGGGAACAUCAUCGCGCUAUCGAACAUCUAAGUUGGUACUUUUGAAUUGUAUAUAUAUGAUAUAUGAGAUGUAUAGGCUAGUGUCAUUUUGGUAUGUUUUGAGUUAUGAUAUUAGCCAUGAGAUUUGGCUUUUAAAGGUUGGUGUGUAUUUGGCCAUAUGAAUUGGUUGUUUAAGUGUUGAGAAAAUGCAUAUUUGAACCUAAGAUGAAUUGAUGGUUAUAGUAAGUUAAAUUGACAUAUUUUUGAGUUAAUUUGGUACUAAAAUUGAAAUGAAAUGAACGAAGUUUAUUAGUUAACUUUUAUAUAGUAUUAUGAAUGUUGUUGAUCAAUUUGAUAAGUAAAUGUUUUAGGCAUGAUUUAAAUAUGUUUAAAUGUGAAAAUGUGUUGGUUUCCAUAUUGAUUGUAAAUUGGUUGCAGUUGAAAUUGCAGGGAAUGUUAGAUAUUUAUAAAGAAGUUAUAUUGAGUUCGCAAAAAGAAAAAUUCUCCGAGUUUCCGAAUUAGUCCCGAAUCAUUCUUAACUCGUAUUAUGGACCUUGAGGGUUUAUCUAAGGGACUUUAAGAUUAUUUUAUAUUAUAUUUGAUAAUUAUUUGUAUAUUAAUUGUAAAUUGUCCGAUAGGUCUAGUAAUGCUCCAUAAUCCUAUUCCGGUGACGAACAUGGGUUAGGGGUGUUAUAAUAAGCAAUUUUUGGUGAAAGUUAUAGUGAAAGUUAUCAUAUUGAUGGUUAGGUGUGAUUGACCAUAGAGUUAUAAUUAUUAUAGUACAAAGAAAAGUUAACUGAGUUGAUUAGGGUGUGAGGUGAAUAAAUUAACUCUUCGAAAUUUUAAUAGCAGGAACGGAAGAAUAUUUAAAAAAAAAUUAAUUUGUUAUUUGAUUUAACAUAUAGAGACUGAUUUAUCUAUUUUUUAGUAUAGCUAGAGGAUAAAAUGCAAUCUGACAUCUAAUACAAUGACCUCAAUAAUACUUUUACCUACAGUUGCUAAAUUUAUAACUAUAAUCGUAAAUUUUCAGUUUUGGUUCUUCUAUUAUGGUUACGUUUAAGAUUUAAUUUUUUAAAGUAAGAUUUAAUCUUUAUAAUUAAAUUUGGCAUAAUUUGAUUGUCUAUUUUUACAAUGAUAUUAGGUAGUCGAAAUAAUUAACAUAUUUUUUAACUAUUCUAAUUAAGUUUUUAAUUUUUUUAAAAAUACUAUUCUAUAAAAAAAUUACUUUUACAUAAUGAAUCAGAAUAAAUGUUAUUAAAAAUAUUCACAUCUACUACAAAAAAUAUUAAGGGUGCUAAUUAUUUGAGUUAACUAAUGAUACGACCUUUUUUUCCCGACAUUAUAAGAUAAUGAUAAAAUUAUAGUUUUUAUAUCUCUAUUAUGCUCACAUUUGAGAUUUAAUAUUUAUAUUUUAAAUUAACAUCGUUUGAUCCUCUACUUUUAUAAUGAUAUUAGUUAUCCUAAAUAAUUAAUAUUUUUAACUAUAUCGAUUAAAAUGAUUACAUGAAUUUCUCUUAAAAACACCUUUCAAUACAAUAUAUAUAUUUCUACAUGAAGUUCGAAUGGGUAUUUUUAAGGAAAAUAUUGAUCUCGACAUUUUGACCACGAUAAUUAAAGGUAUCAACUAUUUCAACUAACUAAUAGUAUUAUGUAGAGGGACCAAAUUAUAUAAAAUUAAAGAAUAGAUAUUAAAUUCUAUAUUUAAACAUAGUAGAGAGACCAUAACCAUAAUUUAAUCUAAAACAAAUUAUCUCUAACAUAAUAUAAAUAUAUUAACUAUAAAAAAUUUAAAUUUUAUUCUACCCCUAAAAAAUUAUUCUGACUUUACCUUACCUGCUACAAUUUUUAGACCUUACAUAAGAUUGUUUUCUUAAAUAGUGCAUAUUAUAAUAUAUAUUUGGUUUUGCAAUUGUUUUUAACUUCGGCUUUUAAUUUGUCACAAAUAAAAUUUUUGACUUUAUUAAUAAUAAUAAUAAUAAUAAUGGAUAAUUUAAAAUAAAAUAUAUUUAUAUUUUAAUUUAUUGUAUUGGAAUUAAUGAGAGAAAAUUUAUGGUCCUUAUAGCGCAAGAAUGUGUGUGACAACGUGUUGAAUGUUUAUCCACACAAAAUCCAAAAGGAUUCAAGGAUCUUCAACUUCGUCAGUGCCUCUCAUCACUUCUAAAAACACUUUGCUUUCCUUUCUUACUUACUCCAAAUCCGACGUUCGUAGAAAAAGACCAAGUUAACUACCUACGUGCCGCCGUCACCAUCAUGUCACAGCCUCAUUUCCUCCUGGUGACCUACCCUGCACAAGGCCACAUAAACCCAACCUUACAAUUUGCCAGGCAUCUUAUACGUAUUGGCGUACGUGUAACUUUCAUCACCUGCAUCUCCGCUCGCCGCCGCAUGACCAAAGUCCCCACUGCUCAAGGCCUAACGUUUUUACCCUUUUCCGAUGGCUACGACGACGGUUUUCAACCCGGCGAUGACGUGGACCAUUACCGAUCUGAAUUUACGCGACGAGGCAAAGAAGCCAUCUCCGAGUUUAUAACAAGCGGUGAAAACGAAGGCAAACCCGUCACUUGCAUUGUCUACACCCUGUUCAUCCAUUGGGCCACGGAGGUGGCGCGUAAACAUCACAUCCCGACAGCUUUACUUUGGAUUCAACCCGCCUCCGUUUUUGACAUCUAUUAUUUUUACUUCAACGGAUACGAAUCCACCAUUAAAGCUCAAGCUGAAGAAACAAACCCCGAGCGUUCAAUCAAAUUACCAGGUCUGCUGCUACUCGCCACCCGCGACCUUCCGUCUUUCUUCACCGCUUCAAACGUUUACCGUUGGGCACUGUCGUUGUUCCAAGAACACAUGGACGUCCUCGCCGAUGAAUCCAACCCUAAAAUCCUUGUUAACACCUUCGAUGCUUUGGAACACGAAGCAUUAAACGCCAUUGAAAAUUUCAACAUGGUCGGCAUCGGACCUUUAAUCCCAUCUUCUUUCUUGAACUCAAGUGACUCCUUGGAUAAUUCCUUGAGAACCGAUCUUUUUCAACCCGAUUCAAAAGAUUACCUCCAAUGGUUAGACUCCAAACCAAAAUCGGCCGUCGUUUACGUUUCCUUCGGGAGCAUUACGGUGUUAACGAAGCAACAAGUGGAGGAAAUCGCUCGAGCUUUAAUAUCCAGCCGGCGACCUUUUUUAUGGGUGGUGAGGAACCGGAAAGAUGGAGGCGAAGAAGAGAAAGAAGAAGAUAAACUGACUUGCAGGGAAGAAUUGGAACAGUUUGGGAGGGUGGUUCCAUGGUGUUCGCAAGUGGAAGUAUUGUCUCAUCCGUCGUUGGGUUGCUUCGUGACGCAUUGUGGGUGGAACUCGACGUUGGAGAGCAUGGUGGCCGGUGUACCAGUGGUGGCUUUCCCUCAAUGGUCGGAUCAAGGGACUACUGCGAAGCUGAUUGAAGAUGUGUGGGGGAAUGGGGUGAGAGUGAGUGCUAAUGAAGAAGGGAUGGUGGAACGUGAUGAGAUCGUUAGGUGCUUGGAUUUGGUGAUGGGGGAUGAUGAGAAAGGGAUGGAAGUGAAGAAAAAUGUAGAGAAAUGGAAAGGGUUAGCCAGGGAAGCCUCCAUGGAAGGCGGCUCCAUGGAUAUGAACCUUAAAGCUUUUGUGGAUGAUGUUGCUCAAGGUGGUUGCAAGUAAAUUUAUCAUUUUCAAAUCAAUUCACUGUUAUAAUAGCAGCUAUAAAUAUUGUAACUUCUUUAAUUUCUAAGUUUAUUUCUUUUUCUUUUCCAUCAUCUUUUGUAAAAAAAAAAAUGUAAGAUUGAAAAGCCGAAACAAAAACUCCUCUUUUAAGGACCCAAGAGGAGCUGGUCUGUGUAGUCUUUGAGCCCCACCUGUCAAUCUCAAUCUCAAUCAAUGCUUUCCUUUCUUGCCUCAAGCACUCACUCGUUUCAUGUCCCAUCCUCGUUUUCCCUUCAUUAAUAUCACUCCACCUUCUAACUUAAUAAUUGAUACAUGAUCUCAAAAAAAAAAGAAAAAAAAAAAACCCAAAGUUUGAAUUCGGUCUAUGAGCUUCCUAAACAAAAUCAGGAUAUGUGAUUAAGCAUGGAUGCUUCCAUUAUCAUAUGGAUUAAGGGUGCCAGUCGGGCUUAUUACGCCCCUCAUCCAACUUUCACCAUUCGAUAUAUGAUUAUAACCUAACCAACAACAGUCAAAUGUGUUGUUGUCGUACCUCUAUCCCUUCAAAAAUCUCUUUACUGUUGCUACCCAUGUCUUCUUUGAUAUAUAUGCAUAUUUUUAACCUUACUGAGCUGUGGACUUCAUUUGACGUGUAACCAAGUUUUUGCUUUCUUUUCUUUCUUCUUCUUAUGUUUCCUGAAUUUAUAAAUUUUUUUCCAUUGGCUUCUAUUUAUGUUUUUUCAAAGAUUAAUAAUUGAAUUUAAUUAAAAAUAAUUAAAUUGGUAAAAUAUAUAAAUGUUGAGGACAAAAUUCAGUAUUAUCCCUUUUAAUACCUUUCAUCGUACUAGAUCAGGUAUUAUCGUACCAUGAAACUUGAAUAAGGGUGGGUUUGGAUGGGCGAUUGGGUGCGGUGCGGUGCGUUUAGCCUACUUUUUGUCUCACACUACAGUAUUGCUACAGUGGUAAACGCACCGCCCAUCCAAACUCACCCUAAGCCACCACACAAGUUUAUGCGCAUGUGGUUUUUUCUGGUUUAAUUCUGCUUCUAGUCCUUAUACUUUUUGAAAGUGAUGGAUUUAGUCCCAAUACUUCAAUUUGAUCACUUUUAGUCCUGAACUUUUCAAAAUGUUCAAUUUUAGUCCCUAUAUUUUUAGUCUUUUGAAAUUUUUGUCCUAAACCAAAUAAUAGUAGUUAAAUUUGUUUGUUUAAAUUCAAUUACUAGCAUGUAAUUGUAGAUUUAAUAUAUAUUAUCCAUUUUCUUUGCAAAGUCUGUGAAAAACAAAAAGGAUUGUUGAGAACAAUCCAAACACUAUCAAACACAGUUUAAAAAAAAAUAAAACAGAACAGCCUAACAAAUACUACUAAGCAGACAAAAACACUUUAACAACAGAUUUCCCCGUUGUAUUCUGCUGCAGAAAAUAGCAGACCAUCCCAGCAUCAUCCAUUCUGCUUCAGCAGCAAAUCACCAAGCAGCUUUAAAGAAGUUUUUCCUUGACAUGCCUGCCUUUGCUAAAGUUUCCGCCAUUCCACUCUUUUUUUGAUUAGUGAUUGCAAACUGGAUUUCGGCAAUAUGUCUACAUUCAUCUUCAAUUUCCGCAAACAACUUCCUUAGCGACCAUUGACGAAGAUUCCUAUAUUUCAACUAAUUCAAUACCGUAUUCAAAUCAAGCUCUAUAAUCAAAGGAAGUUGCACCUUAUGAAACAAAUUUGAAAACAUCUCUAUUGCUACUUUUAUAGCCAUCAGUACUACCAUUUCCAAACCCUCCACUGCACAGUUACCUGAAAAAGAGCUGAAACAACCCCUUUCUCGUCCCGCAACACCCCUCCGCAGCCCGCUCUUUCAUCCAAAGAAACCCCAGCCACAUUAAAUUUCAUCCAACCGCAAGGAGGUGGUUCCCUAUCCAUAACCCGCACAUUCCCCACCCUUUUUAACCGGACUGCUCUUCCUUGGCCACCCCCACCAAUCACUCUCUGUGAAAAUACAUUCCUCAUAGACCACUCUUGCCCAUACAAACGAUCUCAAUUUUGUUUGGUAAAUUAACAAGUCAAGUGUUGUAGCCUUACCUUCAAACACUUUCUCAUUACGAGAAAUCCAUCCUGACCAACAUGCUGCUGAUACUGCCAGUAACCAUAGACUUUUUUGAAUGCCAGACAAAGACACUCUCCAGCACAAGGAAAAGAAUUCCUCAAAGUUUGCUACGACGUCCUUCCAUCUCAACCCCCACCAGCAAAAUAUACACGACCAGAAUCUUUUCACAAAGGAGCAUUCAAAAAAAAGUGAUUGGUAGAUUCCGCCACUCUCUCGCACCAUGGACACCCACUAUCCGAAGAGUCGAUAAUAAUUCCUCUACUAAUAAAAAAUUCUUUCGUUGGAACACGAUUAAUCGCCAUCAUCUAUAAGAAGCUACGCUUUCUUGGUGGGACUUUCAAUUUCCAGAUUCUAUCAAACUGAAAUUCUACCGUUCCCAUCCCAUCACACAUUCACGACAUUAGUUGCACGCCCAGCUACAAACGAACCUGGCUCGGAUAGCAAAAAUGUAGGGAAAAAAUAGUCACAGAAGACUAUAGUCAAACAACGUGUAUGCAAGGAAAAUACUAAACUAGAAAAUUUAAAAAGAAAGAAAAGCUGAACUCAAAAUGACUGAAGUUGCUGUAUUAUUCACACACAAAAUGAAAUAAACGUAGGCCUAUAAAUAGCCUUUACACCAUAACAAACUAACGUAAAAAUGUGCAACACUAUUGCACGAUCAUAACAAAAAAUAGAGAAAUAAGGAAAAUAACAAACUAAGCAUAGCACAGCAAAUCUAAAUUUAGAAAAACUGACUUUGAAUCAUUCUCCAACAUCGAAAAUGGUGGAGGGUUGAAUCCAGAGUAAAGUUGACGGGAUGUGAUGUUUACGCGCCACCUCCGUAGCCCAAUGAAGGAGCAAAUAGUAGACAAUGCAAGUGAUGGGUUUACCUUCGUUUUCACUACUUGUUAUAAACUCAGAGAUGGCAUCUCUGCCUCGUCUCUUGAAUUCAGACAUGUAAUUGUCUGUGUCAUUGCCGGGUUUAAUUUCGUCGUCAUAGCUAUCCGAAAAAGGUAAAAACGAUAGGCCUUCAGCAGUGGGGGACUUUGGUCAUGCGACUGCUGGCGGAGAUGCUGGUGAUGAAAGUUACACGUACGUCGAUAGGUACAAGAUGCUUGGCGAAUUGUAAGGUCGGGUUUAUGUGGCCUUGUGCAGGAUAGGUCACUACGAUGAAAUGAGGCUGUGGCAUGAUGGUGACGGCGGCGCGUGUUGGCGCGUAAUUCGUGAAGGAAAUUAAUGGGUUUUUAUAGUGAAGAGAGGCAUUGAUAGAAGGUGACGUUUGAGCUGACGAAUUUCAAAGAUUCCUAAACCUUGUUGGACUUAUCUAGUGUUUUUUCAAUGCUUAGGUUGCAGCUUGAUGCAUGAUGCUGUUAGAGACAGUUUCAUACUACACGACUCUUGGGGGUUUGAAUUUAAUUCACGAAUUAUAAUUUAGGUUAAACUAAACCCCAACACUAAACUAGUCAGUUUAUAUUUGGUUAAACUACCUACCAAGUUAUCCAUCUAUGCCUAAACUUUCAAAAUGGUCAUUCAACUAAUUGGGUUUCAGUUUUUUAUCCAUUUCCCUUAAGCAUAGAUAAAUGCCUUACCUUUGCAUACUUGGUAGGGUUAAUUUUUAAAAAUUAUGACUAAAUUGAUACAAUAUGUAAAAUUUGAGGAAAAAAAUUGUUAUUAUCCUAAUAUUUAAACAGUCACUUCAACUUUCUAUCAAACACUUAAUGGAAAUGGACCAAAAAAAUAAAUCAGAAUAGUUAGGUGACCAUUUUGAAAGUUUUAAAAGUUGAGUGAUAAAAAAAAAAAACUUAAACAUGUUUAAUAGUAUUAAUGUGUCGAACAAUUAAAGUAUCCACUUGUCAUUGUUUUCUUGAAUAUUGUGUAUAUCAUAUAUAAUAAAGGAUUGUAUAACGCUAGCUGUCAUUUUACAUCAUACCUUUUCUUCUCCAAUAAGAGAAUGAUAAAUUAAAUUUUUUCUCUUAAAAAAAUUCAAAUUCAAAUAAAAAUGUAAUAUAAAAUCAUAAUUUCAUAUAAUCACAGUUUCAUACAAUAUUUUCUCUUAGAAUAUAUAUUUAUAAUGUAUAUAUAUAUUCCAUUUUUCAAUUGUUUCUAACUUUGUUCUUUUAGUUUGUCACAGACAAAAAUUUUGACUUCGAUAUUAUUAAUAAAAAAUUAUUAUUGUCCUUGUAGCGGAAGAAUGUGUGUGACAACGUGAUAAGUAUUUUUCCAAACAAAAUCCAAAAGGAUUUAGGGAUCUUCAAAUUCGUCAGCCCAAACGUCACCUUUUUUCAGUGCCUCUCAUCACUUAUAAAAACACUUUGAUUUCCUUUCUUAGUUACUCCAAAUCCGACGUUCGUAAAAAAAGACCAGGUGAACUACCUACGUGCCGCCGUCACCACCAUGUCACAGCCUCAUUUCCUCCUAGUGACCUUCCCUGCACAAGGCCACAUAAACCCAACCUUACAAUUUGCCAAGCAUCUUAUACGUAUUGGCGUACGUGUAACUUUCAUCACCUGCAUCUCCGCUCACCGCCGCAUGACCAAAGUCCCCACUGCUCAAGGCCUAACGUUUUUACCGUUUUCCGAUGGCUACGACGACGGUUUUCAACCCGGUGAUGACAUAGAACAUUACCUAUCUGAAUUGAGGCGACGAGGCAAAGAAGCCAUCUCCGAGUUCAUAACAAGCAGUGAAAACGAAGGCAAACCCGUCACUUGCAUUGUCUACACCCUGUUCAUCCAUUGGGCCUCGGAGGUGGCGCGUAAACAUCACAUCCCGACAGCUUUACUUUGGAUUCAACCCGCCACCGUUUUCGACAUCUAUUAUUUUUACUUCAACGGAUACGAAUCCACCAUUAAAGCUCCAGUUGAUGAAACAAACCCAAAGCGUUCAAUAAAAUUACCAGGUCUGCCGCUACUCGCCACCCGCGACCUUCCGUCGUUCGUCACCGCUUCAAACGUUUACCGUUGGGCACUGUCGUUGUUCAAAGAACAAAUGGAUGUCCUCGCUGAUGAAUCCCACCCCAAAAUCCUUGUUAACACAUUCGAUGCUUUGGAACACGAAGCAUUAAACGCCAUUGAAAAUUUCAACAUGGUAGGCAUCGGACCUUUAAUCCCAUCUUCUUUCUUGAACUCAAAUGACUCCUUGGAUAAUUCCUUGAGAACCGAUCUUUUUCAAUCCGAUUCAAAAGAUUACAUCCAAUGGUUAGACUCCAAACCAAAAUCGGCCGUCGUUUACGUUUCCUUCGGGAGCUAUGCUGUGUUAACGAAGCGACAAGUGGAGGAAAUCGCUCGAGCUUUAAUAUCCAGCCGGCGACCCUUUUUAUGGGUGGUGAGGAACCGGACAAAUGGAGGCGAAGAAGAGAAAGAAGAAGAUAAACUGACUUGCAGGGAAGAAUUGGAACAGUUUGGGAUGGUGGUUCCAUGGUGUUCGCAAGUGGAAGUAUUGUUUCAUCCAUCGUUGGGUUGCUUCGUGACGCAUUGUGGGUGGAA